GAGUUUGAUCCUGGCUCAGAACGAACGCUGGCGGCAGGCCUAACACAUGCAAGUCGAGCGCACCCUUCGGGGCGAGCGGCGGACGGGUUAGUAACGCGUGGGAACAUACCCAAUGGUACGGAAUAGCCUCGGGAAACUGAGAGUAAUACCGUAUGUGCCCUUCGGGGGAAAGAUUUAUCGCCAUUGGAUUGGCCCGCGUUAGAUUAGAUAGUUGGUGGGGUAAUGGCCUACCAAGUCUACGAUCUAUAGCUGGUUUUAGAGGAUGAUCAGCAACACUGGGACUGAGACACGGCCCAGACUCCUACGGGAGGCAGCAGUGGGGAAUCUUAGACAAUGGGCGCAAGCCUGAUCUAGCCAUGCCGCGUGUGUGAUGAAGGCCUUAGGGUCGUAAAGCACUUUCGCCAGAGAUGAUAAUGACAGUAUCUGGUAAAGAAACCCCGGCUAACUCCGUGCCAGCAGCCGCGGUAAUA
rnacentral:rRNA from 1 species